AAGAUGGAACUUGGAUGUGACAGAUAGGCAGUGCAUUGCUAGCUGGCUGUUAGAUUUUCAUUGUAGCAGUUGCUAGUUGCACUCCUCUAUGUUGCAGCCGGAUGUGUGC
ensembl:miRNA